rnacentral:lncRNA from 1 species
UCUGUUGCUGGUGUAAUUUGUUGCUUUCCUUUUUAAUUUUUCUCCUCUUUUCGAAUGAGGGUUCCCCCUUGCCCUUUUUGGGGGGUCGCGCAGAAGUGUAGAGGUGCCAUUAAGGAGACUUUUCCCUUUAUCCAAUUUGGUUGGACGGUCGGGUCCUUGCCAUCAUUAGGACGAGGUUCCCCUCCUGUUCCCAAUGGGGCUGUGGGGGCACAUAAGGGUCGUUGCAAGGGCCUCUCCCCCCAUCCGGUCUAAAAGGAUCGGGCCUUCGACUUUGCUCACGUUAGGGCG